rnacentral:rRNA from 1 species
CCCGCUGAACUUAAGCAUAUCACUAAGCGGAGGAAAAGAAAUUAACUAAGAUUGCCUCAGUAACGGCGAGUGAAGCGGCAAGAGCCCAAAAUGUAAAUCUUCACGCUGCGCGUGACGAAUUGUAAUCUAAAGAUGGUUCGCUCAACGGGUGGUGGCGCAGAAGUGCCUUAGAACGGGCCGCCAGAGAGGGUGACAGCCCCGUAUGUGGUGCCACUGCCUAACGAGCGGGUUAUCAAAGAGUCGGGUUGUUUUGUAUUGCAGCCCUAAGUGGGAGAUAAACUUCUUCUAAGGCUAAAUAUAUAUGGGAAACCGAUAGCGAACAAGUACUGUGAAGGAAAGAUGAAAAGAACUUUGAAAAGAGAGUCAAAAGACUUGAAAUCGUUGAGAAGGAAGCGGUAGAAAUUUAUUCUUCGGCGGAGGACCGUGGUAGUUGCCUAACCAUUGCCGGUUGUCAGCACUGCAAAGGCUGCGGCUUGUACUUGGGGAAGCGGCUGCUUUGCCCUCCGUCGUGAGGCAAGAUGGGGUCGUGUUCCCGCAGAGGCUUCUCCGACCUGGCCUGAUUCGUUGGGCAGUCGGAGUGUGCCGGCGGACGUGCGGCCUGAGGAUGCUUUGUGCGAUCUUGCCAAAAUGGUUUUUACCGACCCGUCUUGAAACACGG